AGAGACGGACGUCAGGAGUCAGUGAAGAUGAUCAGAUGAAGACUGAUGAAAGAAAGACACGGAGGAGAGAAUAAAAUCUGAACAUGUCUGCCGCUGACACCAGAGUGAUCGUUGCCCACAUUCCUCCUCGCAGGAGAAGAUGGAGCAAAGACGAACCUCCUAUGAUGAGGAUUGUUCUUCUGGGGAAGAGCGUGUCAGAAAACAGUGGCGUGGGAAACUUCCUGUUGGGACGAGCAGCGUUCGACAGUGAAGCUCCUCCAG